rfam:Lingula anatina scaffold1119, whole genome shotgun sequence.
GCCGUGAUCGUAUAGUGGUUAGUACUUCUCGUUGUGGCCGAGACAACCCAGGUUCGAAUCCUGGUCACGGCA